ACGCUCGACACCUACGGGAGGCAGCAGUAGGGAAUCUUCCACAAUGGGCGCAAGCCUGAUGGAGCAACACCGCGUGAGUGAAGAAGGGUUUCGGCUCGUAAAGCUCUGUUGUUGGAGAAGAACGUGCGUGAGAGUAACUGUUCACGCAGUGACGGUAUCCAACCAGAAAGUCACGGCUAACGUACGUGCUAGCAGCCGCGGUAAUCUGAGCGGGCUGGCAGGC
rnacentral:rRNA from 1 species